rnacentral:rRNA from 1 species
UACGUAGGUGGCAAGCGUUGUCCGGAUUUAUUGGGUUUAAAGGGUGCGUAGGUGGGCAGGUAAGUCAGUGGUGAAAUCUCCGGGCUUAACUCGGAAACUGCCAUUGAUACUAUCUUUCUUGAAUACCGUGGAGGUCAGCGGAAUAUGUCAUGUAGCGGUGAAAUGCUUAGAUAUGACAUAGAACACCAAUUGCGAAGGCAGCUGGCUACACGAAUAUUGACACUGAUGCACGAAAGCGUGGGGAUCAAACAGG